CGAUUAAGACCCCCUUCGGGGGGUGUAUAAAGUGGCGGACGGGUGAGUAACACGUAGCUAACCUGCCCUACGGCCCGGAAUAACGGUGCGAAAGCGCCGCUAAUACCGGAUACGCCAUCGGGUCUUCCCGGUUCGAUGUGAAAGCGGGCCUUAAAACCCGCGCCGAAGGAGGGGGCUGCGGCCUAUUAGCUAGUUGGUGAGGUAACGGCCCACCAAGGCUACGAUGGGUAGCUGAUCUGAGAGGAUGAUCAGCCACACUGGGACUGAGACACGGCCCAGACUCCUACGGGAGGCAGCAGUUAAGAAUCUUGCACAAUGGGCGAAAGCCUGAUGCAGCGACGCCGCGUGAGCGAUGAAGGCCUUCGGGUUGUAAAGCUCUUUUCUGGGAGAAGAAACGGAUGGUUAAUAGCCAUCAACUGACUGUACCCCAGGAAUAAGCCUCGGCUAAUUACGUGCCAGCAGCCGCGGUAAUACGUAAGAGGCUAGCGUUGUCCGGAAUCACUGGGCGUAAAGCGCGUGUAGGUGGCUUGAUAAGUCGGAUGUGAAAUCCCCGGGCUCAACCCGGGAACUGCGUCCGAAACUGUCUGGCUGGAGAACAGGAGAGGAGAGUGGAAUUCCGG
rnacentral:rRNA from 1 species